CCAGUCGUCCCAGCGCGACCCAGAGCCAGCUAGGGAGAGGCAGGUGGGAGAGGAGAGGGGAGAAAGGGGCGCUAGGACCAAGAGAAGGCACGCGGGGGCCGGGAGGUCGAGAUUACAAAGAAAAGUGGGACGUGGGCUUAGGGUCCCAGAGGAAGAAAAGGACUGGACUAGGGAGAGAAUUGCCUAAUCAGAAGCAAAGGGAAAGAGAGGCGAGGGGCCAGAGGAGAGGGGAGGGAGAAGACGAGGGGUACAGGAGAAAGAGGGGUGGAGAGGGAAGGGAGAGAAUGGGAGGCCGGAGUGGGGAGGGAGUCAGGCAGGAAGCGGGCGGCGUUCGAGAGUCCUAGCAUGGGAAUGGGGCUCUGAGACAGCUGCGGAGGUUCCCUGGCUUCCAUGGAGGCACCGCCCCUCUUCUCUGCUCCUCACAGACAGCUUCCAGGAGAUUUUAGAAAUUGCUCUGUUCUUAAAUGGGAGAAGCGCUAAUGCCCAAAUGCUGAGAAGGAGUAAAGCGGAGAAAACAGAGAAAAACAGUCACAAGUAGAGAGAAGUAGGCAGGAAAGGCGGGAAGGGGAAUUGUCGAUAAAAGAGAGGCAAGCAGGAUGAGAAUGAGAGAAGGAAAGGGGGCUGGGGAGAGGGUCAGGGCUGUCACAUCCAGCAGGGGCUCUCCCUGAGUGCCUCACACUCACCCUGCUACCUUCUGUGCACACGGAGGACGGAGGCAACCUGAAGGUGAUACUUAACUAUCAGAAAACAUUUCCAGAUGAAGAAGGAAGAACAUCUGAACACAGACUGAGCUUACUGGAUAUUGAUGCCAGUGGCAAUAUUGGCAAACAAAUCUUGAAGAUAGAUGGCCAGAGAAAUGAUGGAAACUGUGUCUGAGUCACUACUUGGAAGAGAGCCACCAAACCAGGAGCACUUACAUCCGACUGGAAUGUUGAUCCCAAAGGCGUCAGAUGGAGAGUAAAUACAAGGAGAUACUCUUGCUAACGGGCCUGGAUAACAUCACUGAUGAGGAACUGGAUAGGUUUAAGUUCUUUCUUUCAGACGAGUUUAAUAUCGCCACAGGCAAACUACAUACUGCAAACAGAAUACAAGUAGCUAACUUGAUGAUUCAAAAUGCUGGUGCAGUGUCUGCAGUGAAGAAGACGAUUCUUAUUUUUCAGAAGUUGAAUUAUAUGCUUUUGGCAAAACGUCUUCAGGAAGAGAAGGAGAAAGUUGAUAAGAAAUACAAAUCGGUAACAAAACCAAAGCCACUAAGUCAAGCUGAAAUGAGUCCUGCUGCAUCUGCAGCCAUCAGAAAUGAUGUCACAAAGCAACGUGCUGCACCAAAAGUCUCUCCUCAUGUUAAGCCUGAGCAGAAACAGAGGGUGGCCCAGCAGGAAUCUAUCACAGAAGAGUUUCGGAAAGACUGUUUGCCAGUUAUGGUACUGAAAGCAACAAAGCCCUUCACGUUUGAGACCCAAGAAGGCAAGCAAGAGAUGUUUCAUGCUACAGUGGCUACAGAGAAGGAAUUCUUCUUUGUAAAAGUUUUUAAUACACUGCUGAAAGAUAAAUUCAUUCCAAAGAGAAUGAUUAUAAUAUCAAGAUAUUAUCAGCACAGUGGUUUCUUAGAGGUAAAUAGCGCCUCAUGUGUGUUAGAUGCUAAAUCUGACCAAACAGUUGAUGUCCCGCUGAACAUUAUCAGAAAAGCUGGUGAAACCCCAAAGAUCAACACGCUUCAAACUCAGCCCCUUGGAACAAUUGUGAAUGGGUUGUUUGUAGUCCAGAAGGUAACAGAAAAGAAGAAAAAUGUAUUAUUUGACCUAAGUGACAAGACUGGGGAAAUGGAAGUAUUGGCGGUUAGAAACGAGGACACAAUGCAAUGUAAGGAAGGAGAUAAGGUUCGACUUACAUUCUUCACACUGUCAAAAAAUGGAGAAAAACCACGGCUGACAUCUGGAGUUCAUAGCAUCAUAAAGGUUAUUAAGGCCAGUAAAAAAACAUAGAGAAAUAAAAAGGACCAAUUCAAGCCAACUGGUCUAAGCAGCAUUUAAUUGAAGAAUACGUGAUACAUCCUCUUCAAUCAGAUUCAAGGGGAACAUAUUGGGAAGAGGGAACUCGUACCAUGGUUAAGAAACUGCUGCUUGGUGUUGAUGGAGGCAUCUGAGGAGUGUGGAGAUGGCUCUCAGCUGUGCCA